rnacentral:lncRNA from 1 species
CUCCUAUAUGGAUGGCCUAUAUCCCUGCUCAGCUCACCACUCUCUGAUUAUCUGCUACCCCUUGCGCCUCGUCUUUUCUGGCCCCUUCUUGAAUACAUUGGGAAACUUCUUUGGCAAUACGGUAAUGCUGUUCUGGCAAAGCCUCGUUCUGCCUCUUCCCUUUCUCCCACUCUGUCUCCUGGCGACCUGGUAUGUUUUAACUACCACCCCAACAGGCUCACCUUCUCCUCUCAACUCUCUGCAAAACGGACUGAACCCUAUGGGGUUAUUCUUACGGUCCACCUUUAGGGCAUCCCAUAUUGAGUUCAUAACUCCCAUUUAAAAUGGUUUUAUCCACCCUUUUAUACGGUGACACCCACGAGCCCUCCCAAGCUGCGUUUCUCCAAGGCCGGAACCCCCAAUCUUCCUUUGGUCUCUAAGGACCAUGAGGACCAUGAAUACCAUCUGCAGAACCAUGAAUACCAUCCUUCCCUUUUUUAUUUUUGCCCUCCUUCCUCAUUCUGCGCUCGCUUCCCAGGGGUACCAUUACCAGGAAUUACCAUUCCAAUUUCUAGGAGACUUAGAGCCACUUGCUAACCGUACAGUCCCAGUUUGAUUCUUUAGCUGCUGUGAUUCUGCAGAAUCGAAGGGGUUCGAUCUUUUUAUGAUUGAAAAAGGCAGACUUUAUCUGUACCUACAGGAGGAAUGCUAUUUUUAUGUCAAUCAAUCUGGUAUAGUAAAGGAUAAGAUAAAACAACUCCAACAAGACCUUGAACAUCAGAAAAAACAGCUCUCCUCUGCUGAAGGAAGGCAGCUAAGUAACCCCCUUCUCCAGUGGGCACUUCCUUUCCUGAUACCUCUCCUUGUCAUAGGCCUUCUGUUAAUGCUUUCCCCCUGCAUCAUUAGACUGGUUCAAGCCCAGAUCCAAAAAAAAUAUCUAAUCAAACUAUAAACCAGCUUUUGUUACAGGAAUACCAAUCCCUCCCUAAAAAUUGGGGCAUGGAGAACAGCAUUCCACCUGUUAAACCACGAUGCAAAGAAAUGACCACUGAC